UACGUAGGUGGCGAGCGUUGUCCGGAUUUACUGGGCGUAAAGGGAGCGUAGGCGGACUUUUAAGUGAGAUGUGAAAUACUCGGGCUCAACUUGAGUGCUGCAUUUCAAACUGGAAGUCUAGAGUGCAGGAGAGGAGAAUGGAAUUCCUAGUGUAGCGGUGAAACGCGUAGAGAUUAGGAAGAACACCAGUGGCGAAGGCGAUUCUCUGGACUGUAACUGACGCUGAGGCUCGAAAGCGUGGGGAGCAAACAGG
rnacentral:rRNA from 1 species